GUUAUAUAGGACUCAAUUCCAUCUCUGUCGCUUAUCAUCGACGCCGAGCUCUCUGUAACUGAGAAAAAGAUCGACGCUUUUUCUCUUCCGAGUAAGCUUUUCUCGGGAAAGAUCCCUUUUUUUCCUCUGUUUAUUUCGUUUCCGGGUGUGGGUUUAGGACAAAAUGAUAGGAAUCCGCUUUAGGAAGACCAAAUCUUGUGAGCUGUCUCUACCAUCUUUAGUUUGGUCAACAAAAGAUCUGAGCUUUAGGGUUUUGUAGAUAGAUAGAUGUAGAGCGUCUUCUUUAAAUUUGCAGACUUUUGUUGUUGUUGUUGUGAUUGAAGACAACAAUGUCUAGUCGUUGCGACCACCAAUCGGACAAGAGGAACAACAAAUCGUCCGAAACUGUUCCAAUUGCUGAGUACAAUAUUCUGAAAGAAGUCUAAUCCAAACGCUUGAGCUUCUAGAGAAAACGCAUGGAGUCACUAUUGAUGAUAUUGUGGAAAAGCAAGGACGAGAAUUGGAGCGGAAGGAGGAGAUUGCUAAGUUGGGCAACAAGUUUGGUGAAAUGCAGAAGAAGCUUGAGACCGUCAUAAAGGAUCUCGAAUUCAUCAUGUCUGUUGAUGAUACCGGUGUGGCUUCAGGUAGUGCAAGACCUGCAAAGAAACCUAAGGUGGGGACAAAAGAAGAUGUGAUAAUGCUUAGUGACGAUGAAGAAAGAAAGCAAUGAAUGGCACAGUAACUCAUCACAUCAGGACCCCUUCAUAUAUAUGUGAUCAAGAUCUUGAAUCAAUUUAAGAGUUCGGAAGUUUUGUUUUGAAACUAAAAACUUCAAAUCUUUUUUUUUUUUUUUUUUUUAAGUUGGUUCUUGUUGCUUUUAUUUCUGAUUGUUGAUGAUCUGAUUGCUGAGAUCCUUGAUCCGACGGGGAAGGAUUUUGGGCGUGUGCUUUUCCUUUUACUUGCCUUUGUAAUUAGGUAGUAUGUUUCAAAUGCCUUCUAAUAGUGAAGAAAACAUAUAGAGGCUUCGAAACUUUUUGCUGGUGGUCUGUUUUUCGUGAGCCAGAACAUCAACUUGUGGGCAAACUCCAGCUCUAUAUAUAUAUUGACUAUCCAGCAAGUUUUGAUGAUAACUGCAGCCAUUAAUAUUUUAGUUGGGUUGGUGAUCUGAUCUCUUCUGAUUUCGGCUCUGUAAGUGGAUUUGGCAUUUCUUUGUAGUAUACUAUAAGAGACACUUAAGCAGUCCAUUUCCUUGAGAAACUGUAAAGCUUUUAUCUCAUACAACAGUAGCCUCUUCUCGUACUAAGCGAUUUUUAACCAGAAAAUAUUAUCUUACUAUAUAUGGUUGUUGAUUUUUAGACUUGUUAAGUUGUUAUUAGCAAUUUUAUUAAAGAUGGGAUCUUCAUGGCUAUGUUAACUACUGUAUACAACACUCUAAAUUUCCUGCAGCUGUUGAUUGCCCCUUUGUUUGUUAUAUUUUUUUGUAUGCAGUUUUCUUGAACUUCCAAACCUGCUCUCAGCGUCUAUAUAUAGCACUGAUCUCUGAAAUAGAGACUUCGAGCAUUCCUUGUUGCAUGUCCGCCCUCUGGCCAACAGUUGUAGAGCUUGUGAUUGCAACUGCGGACUUUUAACGUGAUCUUUCCAACUGGAACAUUAAUUAGGAACUGUCAUUCGAGCAGGUAAAAUGGUCUGGAGUCAGGACACAACAUUCAACAACUCCAUUUGUUGAUGAAAUGUAUAAGAGGCUGAACGAAACCAUUCAAGACUAUCACGUUAUCAUUUCCAGAUGGCCAGAAUAUAUAUUUGUUCUGGAGAGUGUAAGUUUAGCUGUUCCUUGAUGCCUUUUGAUUUUACGAUUAUGAAAAUAUUGCUUGUACAUACCAUUGCAUGUUAUAAGCUUACAACUUAAUUACAUGUAUGGUGUUAAUUUGGAAUGAAUAGGCUGACAUUGAUUGUGUUUCUUUAGGCCAUUGCUGAUGUUGAAAAAGCAAUUGUGGAAGAUCUGUAAUUACAUCCAAUGGUAUCGCACACUAAAUUGUCUGUUGAUUUUACAGGCUAGAAACUAGAAAAAAAAAAAA